rnacentral:rRNA from 1 species
UCGUCGCGUCCGGUGUGAAAGUCCAUCGCUUAACGGUGGAUCCGCGCCGGGUACGGGCGGGCUUGAGUGCGGUAGGGGAGACUGGAAUUCCCGGUGUAACGGUGGAAUGUGUAGAUAUCGGGAAGAACACCAAUGGCGAAGGCAGGUCUCUGGGCCGUCACUGACGCUGAGGAGCGAAAGCGUGGGGAGCGAACAGGAUUAGAUACCCUGGUAGUCCACGCCGUAAACGGUGGAUGCUGGAUGUGGGGACCAUUCCACGGUCUCCGUGUCGGAGCCAACGCGUUAAGCAUCCCGCCUGGGGAGUACGGCCGCAAGGCUAAAACUCAAAGAAAUUGACGGGGGCCCGCACAAGCGGCGGAGCAUGCGGAUUAAUUCGAUGCAACGCGAAGAACCUUACCUGGGCUUGACAUGUUCCCGACAGCCGUAGAGAUACGGUCUCCCUUCGGGGCGGGUUCACAGGUGGUGCAUGGUCGUCGUCAGCUCGUGUCGUGAGAUGUUGGGUUAAGUCCCGCAACGAGCGCAACCCUCGCCCUGUGUUGCCAGCACGUCGUGGUGGGAACUCACGGGGGACCGCCGGGGUCAACUCGGAGGAAGGUGGGGAUGACGUCAGAUCAUCAUGCCCCUUACGUCCAGGGCUUCACGCAUGCUACAAUGGCCGGUACA